ACUCAAAGGAAUUGACGGGACCCCGCACAAGCGGUGGAGCAUGUGGAUUAAUUCGAUACUAACCGAAGAACCUUACCCAGGCUUGACAUCGAUGGAAAAGCGCAGAAAUGUGCUCCUCGACCCACAAGGUCGACCUGAAGACAGAUGUUGCAUGGCUGUCGUCAGCUCGUGCCGUGAGGUGUUUGGUUAAGUCCAGCAACGAGCGCAACCCUCAUUUCGUGUUACCAGCGAGUAAAGUUGGGGACUCACGAAAAACUGCCCGUGUAAGCGGGAGGAAGGUGAGGAUGACGUCAAGUCAGCAUGGCUCUUACGCCUGGGGCUUCACACAUGCUACAAUGGGCGCAACAAACGGCAGCAAUACCGCGAGGUGGAGCUAAUCCGAAAAAUACGCCCUCAGUUCAGAUUGCAGUCUGCAAUUCGACUGCAUGAAGGCGGAAUCGCUAGUAACCGCAGGUCAGCUAUACUGCGGUGAAUACGUUCCCGGGGUUUGUACACACCGCCCGU
rnacentral:rRNA from 1 species